UACGUAGGGGGGCAAGCGUUUGUCCGGAUUUAUUGGGCGUAAAGAGCGUGUAGGCGGCCUGACAGGUCAGCUGUGAAAACUCGAGGCUCAACCUCGAGACGUCGGUUGAAACCGUAAGGCUAGAGUCCGGAAGAGGAGAGUGGAAUUCCCGGUGUAGCGGUGAAAUGCGCAGAUAUCAGGAAGAACACCCGUGGCGAAGGCGGCUCUCUGGGACGGUACUGACGCUGAGACGCGAAAGCGUGGGGAGCGAACAGG
rnacentral:rRNA from 1 species